rnacentral:rRNA from 1 species
AGCGAACGCUGGCGGCAGGCUUAACACAUGCAAGUCGAGCGGGCAUCCUUGUGGUGUCAGCGGCAGACGGGUGAGUAACGCGUGGGAACGUGCCCUUCGGUUCGGAAUAACUCAGGGAAACUUGAGCUAAUACCGGAUACGUGCGAGAGCAGAAAGGUUUAUCUGCCGAAGGAUCGGCCCGCGUCUGAUUAGCUAGUUGGUGAGGUUAUGGCUCACCAAGGCGACGAUCAGUAGCUGGUCUGAGAGGAUGAUCAGCCACACUGGGACUGAGACACGGCCCAGACUCCUACGGGAGGCAGCAGUGGGAAUAUUGGACAAUGGGGGCAACCCUGAUCCAGCCAUGCCGCGUGAGUGAUGACGGCCUUAGGGUUGUAAAGCUCUUUUCUCCGGGACGAUAAUGACGGUACCGGAGGAAU